rnacentral:rRNA from 1 species
GACGAACGCUGGCGGCGUGCUUAACACAUGCAAGUCGAGCGGUAAGGCCCUUUCGGGGGUACGACGAGCGGCGAACGGGUGAGUAACACGUGGGUGACCUGCCCUCAGCUCUGGGAUAAGCCUGGGAAACCGGGUCUAAUACUGGAUAUGACUCCAUGACGCAUGUUGUGGGGUGGAAAGCCUUGUGCGGCUGAGGAUGGGCCCGCGGCCUAUCAGCUUGUUGGUGGGGUGAGGCCUACCAAGGCGACGACGGGUAGCCGGCCUGAGAGGGCGACCGGCCACACUGGGACUGAGACACGGCCCAGACUCCUACGGGAGGGCAGCAGUGGGGAAUCUUGCGCAAUGGGCGAAAGCCUGACGCAGCGACGCCGCGUGAGGGAUGACGG